rnacentral:rRNA from 1 species
ACGGAGGGUGCAAGCGUUAUCGGAAUUACUGGGCGUAAAGCGCACGCAGGCGGUCUGUUAGUCAGAUGUGAAAUCCCCGGGCUCAACCUGGGAACUGCAUUUGAAACUGGCAGGCUUGAGUCUUGUAGAGGGGGGUAGAAUUCCAGGUGUAGCGGUGAAAUGCGUAGAGAUCUGGAGGAAUACCGGUGGCGAAGGCGGCCCCCUGGACAAAGACUGACGCUCAGGUGCGAAAGCGUGGGGAGCAAACAGGAUUAGAUACCCUGGUAGUCCACGCUGUAAACGAUGUCGACUUGGAGGUUGUUCCCUUGAGGAGUGGCUUCCGGAGCUAACGCGUUAAGUCGACCGCCUGGGGAGUACGGCCGCAAGGUUAAAACUCAAAUGAAUUGACGGGGGCCCGCACAAGCGGUGGAGCAUGUGGUUUAAUUCGAUGCAACGCGAAGAACCUUACCUACUCUUGACAUCCAGAGAACUUUCCAGAGAUGGAUUGGUGCCUUCGGGAACUCUGACACAGGUGCUGCAUGGCUGUCGUCA